GAUGAACGCUGGCGGCGUGCCUAAUACAUGCAAGUCGAGCGAACAGACGAGGAGCUUGCUCCUCUGACGUUAGCGGCGGACGGGUGAGUAACACGUGGAUAACCUACCUAUAAGACUGGGAUAACUUCGGGAAACCGGAGCUAAUACCGGAUAAUAUAUUGAACCGCAUGGUUCAAUAGUGAAAGACGGUUUUGCUGUCACUUAUAGAUGGAUCCGCGCCGCAUUAGCUAGUUGGUAAGGUAACGGCUUACCAAGGCGACGAUGCGUAGCCGACCUGAGAGGGUGAUCGGCCACACUGGAACUGAGACACGGUCCAGACUCCUACGGGAGGCAGCAGUAGGGAAUCUUCCGCGAUGGGCGAAAGCCUGACGGAGCAACGCCGCGUGAGUGAUGAAGGUCUUCGGAUCGUAAAACUCUGUUAUUAGGGAAGAACAAAUGUGUAAGUAACUAUGCACGUCUUGACGGUACCUAAUCAGAAAGCCACGGCUAACUCCGUG
rnacentral:rRNA from 1 species